rnacentral:lncRNA from 1 species
AUUUCUGAGCUCUGAGUCGGAAAUUCAUCUGGAACGCCCCACUGAAGUCAGAUUUCCGACUCGGAAAGUUUUACGAUCCUCACCAACCUCGACUUGACGACAACGUCAUAAUCCAAGAUGGCAGCGCAGUGCGUCAACAGCAAAGAGUAACAGUAAAAGCUCUCGUAAUGUUUUAUUUAUUGGCACUUCUGAUUUGUUUUUGUAAAAUUAAAUAAGUGGUUUAUGUUGUUCUGCCCAACGUCUAACUGUGAACACGGUGCUAUGGUGUUUGUACGAGUAGAAUACUGUGAUAUGCGUUGUUUACCACUAGUAUAGCUAACAACAACAACUAACAACGGCUAACAACAGCUAACAACAGCUGACAACAGUUAACAACAGCUUACAACAGCUAAAAACAUCUAACAACAGCCAGCAACAGCUGACAAUGGCUUACAACAGCUAACAACAGCUAACAACAUCUAACAACGGCUAAAAACAUCUAACUACAGCUAACAACAGCUGACAAUGGCUAACAACAGCUGACAAUGGCUAACAACAGCUAACAACAGCUGACAACGCUAACAACAGCUAACAGUAGGCGUCCAUCUUGGUUUUCUGACUUGUUUACUGGAACGCCGCCUACUCGCCGCCUAUUAUUCCCAGCUCCAAUAUCCGACAGAGAUUUCUCUGCAUCUUUCGAUGACUUUAUGGACUGUAGAUGAUCAAAUCUGUAAAUUCCUGCAGUUGUACAUUGAGAAAUGUUGGACCUUUUACUCAUGCAGUUGCUCACAAAGUUGUGAACCUGGCCCCAGCUUUUCGGGGAUGCAACUUUUAUACAUAAUCAUUAUUCUCACUUGUUUCCAGUUAACCUGCUCACCUGUGGAAUGAUCCAAACAGGUGGUUUUAAAACAGUCCUCAAUUUUCCCUGACUUUUUUUUACACUUAACCAACUUCUUAAGAAUGUUAUGAGUGAGUAGUUGCAGAAAAAAAAUGAUAAAAUCUAUCACUUUGAACAUUAAUAUCUCGUCUUUGUGGUAAAUUUAAUAAAAUAUAGGUCAGAGAGGGUUUUCUAAUCAUUGUUUUCUGUGUUUAUUCAUGUUUUACUCAACUUCACUGGCGUUAAGGUUCGUAUCUAUGUCACUCAUUUCAUUAAAAAUAAGUCAUCUUUAGUCCUGAAGUAAUCCAGUCCCUUUGUCACGCGUUAAUCUGGGUUACGAGCUGCCUCAUAAACUUUUAAAAGCAUUGACGAGUGUUGUCAAAAUACAGCUGUUCAUACAAUUGGUCCGGAAAGCAGAGCCCCACCCAGCGCCGCAGUUCUUCAGAUUUCUGACAUGGCUGCUGUAUGAAGAUGAGGGAGUGGCGCUCGGCGUAAACCGGUCACAGCUAUCCGUCAUCUUGUCACACUUGACCAAACAAUACCAGCCGACUUAGUUUCUAAGUAUUAAUAAACAAAUUACCACACCAUUUUCCCCUUCAGAUGGACAGAUUGGCUGCAGUCCCGGCGAGCGACAAUAGACAGUAAUCUCAGGCUCACACACACUCACACAGAGCGAGAUCAGCUCUGCCCAGACAAAACCAAUAACAAGAGGUCAGACCCGGGUCAGGCUGCCUCAUGAAGCGUCUGCCACCUGGAAGUAUUUUCUUUUACAUCAACAUUAGAUUAUAUUUGAUAAUCUACGCCGGAUUGACGCAACAGGAAGAUUUUUCAGACCCCCUGGUGAUGAGCGGGGUCAUGUGCAGGUUAAAAAACACAUUCACUCUCUAAAGAAGACCGAAGUAGGAGGCCCAGAGUGUAUACUGUAUUAUAAACAAUAAAAGGUUGGUCAUUGACAAGAAAAUGAACGACAAACACGAUGCAGUACAUGUUUGACGAAUUCAUCCAUCCUCUUGGGCUUAAAAGGGAUAUUCUGGCGUAAAUUUAAGUUAUGGUCAAACACACCGUAACACAGAGUUAGACACCCCGUCUAGAGAUGAAUGUUGCCGACCGCUUGCUUCUUUAGUAAUACUACUUUAGGUGAGCCCUGACGAGUCGAUCACAGAGUGCAGCGGAGUUUCGCAGCUCAACGAAGAACAUUUAUGAUUAUUACUUAAUAGAAAUGCAAUCAGACUGAGACGCUAACGGGCGAAACCCACAGGGUCUGGAACGGCUCCGCUCCGCUCCCACACAGCCGGCGGAUCAAAUCUGCAAGCAUUAUAAUCAAUGUGAGUCAUUCCACAGAAUCUGUCCGGCGACUGACUCUGCUGCGAAUCAGCUCCGGCGGCCGGAUCAGAUACACAAGGCUUGUAUUUUUGCCGGACGCCGGCGCAUCAAUUCAGUGCAGCACAGCACAAGUAGCAGAGGAAGUUUUAUGCGGUUACAAAGUAAAAUAUCUGGUUAAUUUUCAAAAUAAAAUGAAGUCAAUACGUUGAACUGUUCUUCACUUGAUAAUGGGAGAGGCCAGGGUUGUGGGUUGUGGGAUGUGGGUGUUGAUGAUGAUUAUUCCUUUAAGGAAAUGAUCCGCUACACUCAGUGAUCGACUCGUCAUGGCUGCCCUACAAACAAGCGGCUGCUGGAGGAGAGUGGGUGAGUUGUGUUUAGUCUCUUUGCUAAAGAAAUGAGGCAAAGUUAAAAAGAUGUUUGAUGGCUAGUACUAUGGGACUCUAUAUGUCCUGUUGAUGAAGUUAGGUGCUGUUCUGAGCAUUAUUUGUGGCUAUAGAGUGGCGUUUUGGUUGAGGUUUGUUUAUGGCUGCUCAGACCACUGAGUAUUGCCAUCGUGUGGUCGUUACUAAAGUUGGUAUAACUAGAGAAGUAAGCGGUCGGCAACAUUCAUCUCUACAGGGGAUGUCUAACUCUGUGUUACGGUGUCUUUGACCCUAAAUUUACACCAGAAUGUCCCUUUACAUGGUCUUUUGCUGCGCAGUUUGAAAAGACCCAGGGUCUGGUACUGGUCCAUUUAAAGUGAGAACGGCGGCUGGUUUUUAUUCGCUGUGAAGGAGUGCAUUACACCCAUCCAUCCUGCUCUUGGGUACACCGAGAGCUUUAAUAAUCUUCACCUUCAGAAGAUUUGUGACAGCCGUUUGAUGAGCGCACCGCUGCGAAUACCUGUUCAGAAUCACCAGGAGGGGGAUCGAUGGAAAAAUUCAGAUGGAUUGCUGUAUUUCAAAUACCUAACCUGCAAAAUAUGCUUUUCAUCACCUUCUUGAUUCAGCAGCUUUUCUAGGAAGAGCUCAUGAAAGAGAGUGAACCAUUAAAGUAGGUUUGAAGGACAAAUAUCUGCAAAAUUAUCGCUGGGAGUAAAAGCAGAGGUUAACGAGAGGUGGAUGGUUUAAACAUCAGGACGGAAACUCUUAAUUUUCAUCUUCACAUUUACUCUAAUGAAAGUAGGUGCAGCUUUUUUCAAUAAUGGGUCCAUCAGAACCUCUGAGAAGCUGCAAAUCACAGAUCUUAACCCAAUUCAUUUUGUUACAGUCCUCCUAGUUUGUCUGCGUGAUUGUAUUAAUGUCAGAGGACAUGAUUUACCGUUUUUAAUAUUUUAAAAGCAGCUUCCUGCCAGGGACUUUCUUUUGUUUGCCGUAAGGCGGACAGCUGAGCCUUUUCCUGAGCUUCCAAACUAGGUCAUGCACCAGGUACUUCAGCUUAUUUUCAGAAAGUCAGACCCAAAUAUCAACCUGGGUUUUUGUAUCGCUACAUAUAUAAAUGUAUUAAAGCUUUACUUUGCCAUCAAACUGCCCAUCUGUUUUAACAUCAUUCUCAGACGCAGCACACACACGUGUUUCAGAUGUUUGGAUCAGCUGCUUCAAGAUGAGACGAGUUCAAGUGUUUUUAAUCGGUAGCCAACAAAUGUAAAAGACCUGCCAGAACAAUCACGGUCAGAGGAAAACCUGCUGCAAACGCUCAAAGGAUGCAAAUUCAAGAACACGUGCAUACUCCAAAUAAAGAAAACCUGCAGAGACUUAUUUGUGCAAAGACAAACAACAUGCAAGAGCAGGACACAACUGCAAAAGUAAAAUACAAAACAAGCAGAAGUGUCAUAACUGAGAAAUGUGCACACUAGAUCUAAUCAUCUAUAGAGCUUUUUAUGAUAGAUGUAAAUAACAUUUAUGCAUCUUUAACUGAGGAGAAGUUUCUGACGGAUUGAUGGUUUUGUUGAACUACAGCUGAGGGCAGCGUAGGUCAGCUACUGAUCCGUGUCAGCUGUUAGAAAUGCUAUUAGUUAGCAGGUGUCAGGCUCUAAAUACCAGGGUGUGGAAGUGUUUUCUUCUCGAACAAUCGCAGGGACUUUAGACCGACUGAGCUGUUUGACUUAGCGCCCUUACAGGCCUUGAGAACCUCAGCUAAAACAUUUUGAUUCCCAGCAUAAAUCACUUACAGUUGUUUUAUCCUUUUGUGUGUUUUUGAAUCGCCGCUUUUGGUUUUUAAUUUUGUUGUUUUGGCUUUUUGAAUUGAGGCAUGUUUAUUUCAUUUGUAGGGUGUUUCCAUGACUGCACUUGUUUUUGAUUUUGCGUGUGUUUCGCAUCUGCAUUGUUUGGGGAUUUGCAGCACAUAUCUCUGAAGCUGAUGCCCUCGUCAGCUCCGGCUAUCUCAGGGUCAUGUGGGAAGAUAAGUGCUCCAGUUUCUGCGGUGGAGAGGGAGAGCUCGACAUGAAGCUCAUUUACGUCCCAACACUCACUGACACCUGCAGAAUGAGAUCGUGGAUACAAACAGCUGACGUGAGUGUCCUCUGAAGAGUUGGCUGGGUUCGGCUGUAGAAAUAGAGUAAAUAGAGCAGAGCAGAGCUGCUACUCCUAGUUAAAGUGGUCAAGGAUCUGAGUAGGAUGCCUCUCUCUGGAGGUUUUUGCAUCCAGCUGUAGGGAGGGCCCUGGGGUAGACUAAAUGUAUAUUCUCCCUGGUCUGGGAAUGUCUGUAAGGGGACAGGAAAACAUGGCUGGGGAGGUGGGACCUGACCCCUGAUGAGCAGAAGAAAAAAGAUGAAUACAUGAAUGUUCCUACGGUGUUUUUGUAAGUGUGUGUGAUUAGUUUGCAAGUUUAUUCAAUCUUACAUGGAUAAGGAGAAAGUCUUAAGAGGAGAGUCAAAGUUAAUUUACUUAACUAAGGUAAGAAAUAAGUGUUGCCAGAUCUCAAGAGAGAAACAAGCAACCAGCUCUAAGAAAACAAGCUCAAAACAAGCCCAACAAGCAACCCGCCACAUCCCACAGGAUGGGCGGGGGGCAACCAUAAAUCUACUGACGACAACUUGCUAAUACUCGGCGCACGCCCCGCAGUGCUGGACCCAUGUGCGCCGCAUAUGCUGAAACAUACCGAGUCCCAGGUAACACCUUGUAAAAACACCCUUCAAAAACUCAUUUUGAAAGUGUGGCGGCUUUUAUUUUGUUGUGACAUUAUGCAUUGGCAAUGGCAAAAUUAUAACAAACAAAGUUAACAUAAAAACUUUGAAUAACUUAAGGGUUUGGGUUGAAUUUUAUUUUAUUUUUUUCAUAUUUUCUCCACUCACUGCCACUUAUUCUCACUCUGUCUCCUUGCUCAUUUCUCUGUCACUCUGGCGUACAUGAGCAUGACGUGAUUCAGGAUUCAGGAUUCAGGAAACGGUGGUCUGGAAAGGACAAACUACAUACCUCUCACACUUGAGUUUUGCUUUGCUUUUGUGGGGAGCUGUGAGAUAAUCAGGAGAAAUUCACACAGACAUAAAAAAAAAUAAAGCCCAAAUAAGCAACUCCUGAGAAAAACAAGCCCAAAAAACGCAACUCACC